rnacentral:rRNA from 1 species
UACGAAGGGGGCUAGCGUUGUUCGGAUUUACUGGGCGUAAAGCGCACGUAGGCGGAUCGUUAAGUCGGGGGUGAAAUCCUGGAGCUCAACUCCAGAACUGCCUUCGAUACUGGCGAUCUUGAGUCCGGAAGAGGUGAGUGGAACUCCUAGUGUAGAGGUGGAAUUCGUAGAUAUUAGGAAGAACACCAAUGGCGAAGGCAGCUCUCUGGGACGGUACUGACGCUGAGACGCGAAAGCGUGGGGAGCGAACAGG